rnacentral:rRNA from 1 species
CACCGGCGGCCCGAGUGGUAACCGUUUUUAUUGGGUUUAAAGGGUCCGUAGCCGGCUUACUAAGUCUCUUGGGAAAUCUGGCGGCUCAAUCGUCAGGCGGCCAAGAGAUACUGGUAGGCUUGGGACCGGGAGAGGUGGGAGGUACUCCAGGGGUAGGGGUGAAAUCUCGUAAUCCUUGGGGGACCACCGAUGGCGAAGGCAUCCCACCAGAACGGGUCCGACGGUGAGGGACGAAAGCUGGGGGCACGAACCGGAUUAGAUACCCGGGUAGUCCCAGCUGUAAACGAUGCUCGCUAGGUGUCAGGUGCGGUGCGACCGCAUCUGGUGCCGCAGUGAAAACUUGAAGCGAGUCACCUGGGAAGUACGGUCGCAAGGCUG